GGGUGCGAUCAUACCAGCGUUAAUGCACCGGAUCCCAUCAGAACUCCGCAGUUAAGCGCGCUUGGGCUAGAGCAGUACUGGGAUGGGUGACCAGCCGGGAAGUCCUAGCGUUUCCCCCU
rnacentral:rRNA from 1 species